GACGACGCUGGCGCGUGGAUUAGGCAUGCAAGUCGAACGGUAUCAUCCUUUCGGGGGUGAGAGAGUGGCGAACUGGUGAGUAACACGUAGGUUAUCUACCCUCAAGACGGGGACAACCCAGGGAAACUUGGGCUAAUACCGGAUGUGAGCAACUUUUAGUUGUUUGAAAGGUGGCGUAAGCUGUCGCUUGGGGAUGAGCCUGCGUCCUAUUAGUUAGUUGGUGAGGUAACGGCUCACCUAGGCAAUGAUAGGUAGGCGGCCUUAACGGGUGGUCGCCCACACUGGGAUUGAGAUACGGCCCAGACUCCUACGGGAGGCAGCAGUCGAGAAUAGUCUACAAUGGUCGGAAGACUGAUAGUGCGACGCCGCGUGAACGAUGAAUCCCUUCGGGGUGUAAAGUUCUUUUAUAUGUGAGCAGUGCUUCUUAUAUUAACAGUAUGGGGAGAGAGAUAUUAGCAUAUGAAUAAGCAACGGCUAACUCCGUG
rnacentral:rRNA from 1 species